rnacentral:rRNA from 1 species
GACGAACGCUGGCGGCGUGCUUAACACAUGCAAGUCGAACGGAAAGGCCCUGCUUUUGUGGGGUGAUCGAGUGGCGAACGGGUGAGUAACACGUGAGUAUCCUGCUCUUGACUUUGGGAUAACUUCAGGAAACUGGGGCUAAUACCGGAUAGGAGCUCCUGCUGCAUGGUGGGGGUUGGAAAGUUUCGGCGUUUGGGGAUGGACUCGCGGCUUAUCAGCUUGUUGGUGGGGUAGUGGUUUACCAAGGCUUUGACGGGUAGCCGGCCUGAGAGGGUGACCGGCCACAAUGGGACUGAGAGACGGCGCAGACUCGUACGUUAGGCAGCAGUGGGGAAUAUUGCACAAUGGUCGGGAGCCUGAUGCGGCGACGCCGCGUUCGUGAUGACGGCCUGCUGGUUGUGAACCGCUUUCGCCUGUUACGAAGCGUUAGUGACGGUAAUGGGUAAAGAAGCACCGGCUAACUACGUG